AACGCACGAGACCUGCGGACCUGCGGAAGGAUCAUUACCGAGUGAGGGUCCUCGUGGCCCAACCUCCCACCCGUGACUAUUGUACCUUUGUUGCUUCGGCGGGCCCGCCAGCCCCGUGCUGGCCGCCGGGGGGCCUUGUGCCCCCGGGUCCGCGCCCGCCGGAGACCCCAACAUGAACACUGUUCUGAAAGCCUGUAUGAAUCCGAUUCUUUGUAAUCAGUUAAAACUUUUAGCAAUGGA
rnacentral:misc_RNA from 1 species